rnacentral:tRNA from 3 species
GCGCCAGUAGCUCAGUUGGAUAGAGUGACUGACUACGAAUCAGUAGGUCGGGGGUUCGAGUCCCUUCUGGCGUACCA